UUGAGAUGAAUAAUCUAUGCUGCCUGAAAAUGUUGUGCAAAGGAAAUUUUUAAACAUUGCAACAUGACAUAGAUCAUAUCUCAACCGGUAUUUUGAAGCUGUCUCUUUUUGUAACAGCCAAUUCUUUCUAAAUAUCUUGCUGGAGUGACAGGUGACUUGCAUCUAAGAAAGGUUUGUUGUGCAAGCUUGACUCUAUCACAGGUACACCUGGAAGUUAAAAAAAGGCUAACAGAAAUAUGAACUUGAUAUGGAGUGAGACUGGCUUUCAUGUCUUGGCAUUAUUGAUAAGCAAUUGAUAUUCCAAACUCUCCCAGCACAGCUGAGCACAUUACAAUAAGGAAUGAACCACACAUUCAGUGUAUUUGAUCUCUAGAGUUGGACAAUUACGGGGAAAGAACAUCUAUACAAAAUAUUCUCUACCCUGGGACAGAUACUGCAAGAUGGAUUGAACACAUCUAUACUCAUGUUGCUGUUUUCCCUCCUGAUAAUUUAACUGCAAAGAUAAGACACUGCAAAGACUAAGGACGUCUGCUACACUCCCUCUCCUUAAGGCCACUGAGAAAGAAGAAGCAACUUCAUCUCGGACUAAUUUCAUUUUUCAAACACAAAGAAGGUCUACAAGACAAAUACUAUGGUAUGGAAAUCUGAAGGACUCAACAGAUCAGUCCCUUUCAUCAUCAAUCCCUGUGGUCAACAAUUGAAGUUGAUGGGCUCUGUGCAUGAAAACUGUUGACCCACCAUGUUGGUGUGUCCCAGGAUUGAAGAUCUGUGCGGGCAGGAAACACAAGGCUCACUGGCAUGGAUGAUGAUUGUGCUACAUGGUUUGCACCUUUUUGACAGGUCCAGAUAAACGUACUGGAAGUAUUUUCAUCCUGAGAAAGAGAAAGAGGGAGGAAAAGGUGAGUGGUGUUAAGCUCUUGGUGUCAACAUUGAUGCAAUCAUGAUGAAGGCACACCAGUAGCUCUACCUUGUUUGGAGUAUGAGGAGAUUUGGUAUAUCAUGAAAGACUUCUGCUGAUUUCUAUAGAUAUAUGGUGUAGAGCAUUCUGACUGGCUACAUGACAGCCUAGUAUGGAGGCUCAAUUUACAAGAUCGCAAAAGGCUGCAGAGGGCUAAAGACUCAGCCAGCUCCAUCACAGGCACAGACCUCACCAUCAUUGUGGACAUCUUCAAAAGGCAGUGUCUCAAGAAGGUGGUAUCCAU